rnacentral:rRNA from 1 species
UACGAAGGGGGGCUAGCGUUGCUCGGAAUCACUGGGCGUAAAGGGUGCGUAGGCGGGUCUUUUAAGUCAGGGGUGAAAUCCUGGAGCUCAACUCCAGAACUGCCUUUGAUACUGAGGAUCUUGAGUUCGGGAGAGGUGAGUGGAACUGCGAGUGUAGAGGUGAAAUUCGUAGAUAUCUGGAAGAACACCAGUGGCGAAGGCGGUCAACUGGCCCAUAACUGACGCUCAGGCACGAAAGCGUGGGUAGCGAACAGG